rnacentral:rRNA from 1 species
CGAGCGGCGAACGGGUGAGUAACACGUGGGUGAUCUGCCUUGCACUUCGGGAUAAGCCUGGGAAACUGGGUCUAAUACCGGAUAUGACCCCGGAAUGCAUGUUCUGGGGUGGAAAGAUUUAUCGGUGCGAGAUGGGCCCGCGGCCUAUCAGCUUGUUGGUGAGGUAACGGCUCACCAAGGCGACGACGGGUAGCCGACCUGAGAGGGUGACCGGCCACACUGGGACUGAGACACGGCCCAGACUCCUACGGGAGGCAGCAGUGGGGAAUAUUGCACAAUGGGCGCAAGCCUGAUGCAGCGACGCCGCGUGCGGGAUGACGGCCUUCGGGUUGUAAACCGCUUUUGACAGGGACGAAGCGCAAGUGACUGUACCUGUAGAAUAAGGACCGGCCAACUACGUGCCAGCAGCCGCGGUAAUACGUAGGGUCCGAGCGUUGUCCGGAAUUACUGGGCGUAAAGAGCUUGUAGGCGGUUCGUCGCGUCGUUUGUGAAAACUUGGGGCUCAACCUUAAGCUUGCAGGCGAUACGGGCGGACUAGAGUACUUCAGGGGAGACUGGAAUUCCUGGUGUAGCGGUGAAAUGCGCAGAUAUCAGGAGGAACACCGGUGGCGAAGGCGGGUCUCUGGGAAGUAACUGACGCUGAGAAGCGAAAGCAUGGGUAGCAAACAGGAUUAGAUACCCUGGUAGUCCAUGCCGUAAACGGUGGGUACUAGGUGUGGGGCUCCUUCCACGGACUCCGUGCCGUAGCUAACGCAUUAAGUACCCCGCCUGGGGAGUACGGCCGCAAGGCUAAAACUCAAAGAAAUUGACGGGGGCCCGCACAAGCGGCGGAGCAUGUGGAUUAAUUCGAUGCAACGCGAAGAACCUUACCUGGGUUUGACAUACACCGGAAACCUGCAGAGAUGUAGGCCCCCUUGUGGUCGGUGUACAGGUGGUGCAUGGCUGUCGUCAGCUCGUGUCGUGAGAUGUUGGGUUAAGUCCCGCAACGAGCGCAACCCUUAUCUUAUGUUGCCAGCGCGUAAUGGCGGGGACUCGUGAGAGACUGCCGGGGUCAACUCGGAGGAAGGUGGGGACGACGUCAAGUCAUCAUGCCCCUUAUGUCCAGGGCUUCACACAUGCUACAAUGGCCGGUACAGAGGGCUGCGAUACCGCGAGGUGGAGCGAAUCCCUUAAAGCCGGUCUCAGUUCGGAUCGGGGUCUGCAACUCGACCCCGUGAAGUUGGAGUCGCUAGUAAUCGCAGAUCAGCAACGCUGCGGUGAAUACGUUCCCGGGCCUUGUACACACCGCCCGUCACGUCAUGAAAGUCGGUAACACCC